rnacentral:rRNA from 1 species
GACGUAGGGUCCGAGCGUUGUCCGGAGUUACUGGGCGUAAAGGGCGCGUAGGCGGUUAUCUGCGUCACACGUGAAAGCCCCUGGCUCAACCAGGGAGGGUCGUGUGAAACGGGGUAACUGGAGGCAGAGAGAGGCUGGUGGAAUUCCCGGAGUAGUGGUGAAAUGCGUAGAGAUCGGGAGGAACGCCGGUGGCGAAGGCGGCCAGCUGGCUCUGACCUGACGCUGAGGCGCGAAGGCGUGGGGAGCGAACGGG